GAUGAAGAACGCAGCGAAAUGCGAUAAGUAGUGUGAAUUGCAGAAUUCAGUGAAUCAUCGAAUCUUUGAACGCACAUUGCGCCCCUUGGUAUUCCAUGGGGCAUGCCUGUUCGAGCGUCAUUUGUACCUUCAAGCUCUGCUUGGUGUUGGGUGUUUGUCUCGCCUCUGCGUGUAGACUCGCCUCAAAACAAUUGGCAGCCGCCGUAUUGAUUUCGGAGCGCAGUACAUCUCGCGCUUUGCACUCAUAACGACGACGUCCAAAAGUACAUUUUUACACUCUUGACCUCGGAUCAGGUAGGGAUACCCGCUGAACUUAAGCAUAUCAAUAAGCGGAGGA
rnacentral:misc_RNA from 1 species